rnacentral:rRNA from 1 species
UGCCUAACACAUGCAAGUCGAGCGAUUCUCUUCGGAGAAGAGCGGCGGACGGGUGAGUAACGCGUGGGUAACCUGCCCUGUACACACGGAUAACAUACCGAAAGGUAUGCUAAUACGGGAUAACAUAUUUUGAUGGCAUCUUCGAAAUAUCAAAGCUCCGGCGGUACAGGAUGGACCCGCGUCUGAUUAGCUAGUUGGUGAGGUAAUGGCUCACCAAGGCGACGAUCAGUAGCCGACCUGAGAGGGUGAUCGGCCACAUUGGAACUGAGACACGGUCCAAACUCCUACGGGAGGCAGCAGUGGGGAAUAUUGCACAAUGGGCGAAAGCCUGAUGCAGCAACGCCGCGUGAGCGAUGAAGGCCUUCGGGUCGUAAAGCUCUGUCCUCAAGGAAGAUAAUGACGGUACUUGAGGAGGAAGCCCCGGCUAACUACGUGCCAGCAGCCGCGGUAAUACGUAGGGGGCUAGCGUUAUCCGGAAUUACUGGGCGUAAAGGGUGCGUAGGUGGUUUCUUAAGUCAGAGGUGAAAGCUACGGCUCAACCGUAGUAAGCCUUUGAAACUGAGAAACUUGAGUGCAGGAGAGGAGAGUAGAAUUCCUAGUGUAGCGGUGAAAUGCGUAGAUAU